rnacentral:tRNA from 1 species
CGGACUGUAGCGCAGCUUGGUAGCGCACCGUCAUGGGGUGUCGGGGGUCGGAGGUUCAAAUCCUCUCAUUCCGACCA